UACGGGAGGGUGCAAGCGUUGCUCGGAAUCAUUGGGCGUAAAGCGUACGCAGGCUGUUCGUUAAGUCGGGUGUGAAAGCCCGGGGCUCAACCCCGGAAAUGCGCCCGAAACUGGCGAGCUUGAGUGCGGGAGAGGGAAGCGGAAUUCCUGGUGUAGAGGUGAAAUUCGUAGAUAUUCGGAAGAACACCAGUGGCGAAGGCGACUCGCUGGACAGGUAUUGACGCUGAGGCGCGAAAGCGUGGGGAGCAAAGCAGG
rnacentral:rRNA from 1 species